GCUUACGACCACACCGGCCUGAGUACGCUGAUCUCGUCUGAUCUCGGAAGCUAAGCAGGGUCGGGCCUGGUUAGUACUUUGAUGGGAGACCCUGGAAUACCAGGUGCUGUAAGAU
rnacentral:rRNA from 1 species